GUGUUACAGCACUGGUCUGAGUCAGGUCAGUGUGUUACAGCACUGGUCUGAGUUAGGUCAAUGUGUUACAGCACUGGUCUGAGUCAGGUCAGUGUGUUACAGCACUGGUCUGAGUUAGGUCCAUGUGUUACAGCACUGGUCUGAGUUAGGUCAAUGUGUUACAGCACUGGUCUGAGUCAGGUCAGUGUGUUACAGCACUGGUCUGAGUCAGGUCAGUGUGUUACAGCACUGGUCUGAGUUAGGUCAAUGUGUUACAGCACUGGUCUGAGUCAGGUCAGUGUGUUACAGCACUGGUCUGAGUUAGGUCAAUGUGUUACAGCACUGGUCUGAGUUAGGUCAAUGUGUUACAGCACUGGUCUGAGUCAGGUCAGUGUGUUACAGCACUGGUCUGAGUUAGGUCAAUGUGUUACAGCACUGGUCUGAGUUAGGUCAGUGUGUUACAGCACUGGUCUGAGUUAGGUCAAUGUGUUACAGCACUGGUCUGAGUUAGGUCAAUGUGUUACAGCACUGGUCUGAGUCAGGUCAGUGUGUUACAGCACUGGUCUGAGUCAGGUCAGUGUGUUACAGCACUGGUCUGUGUUUUAGGACUUGCCAUGGGUUUAAACCCCACCAUUCCAUGAUAUCUUCAAUUAAUCUGAGAGAAAUUGGGUUGAUAUAAUAUAGAUUAAUAGUUUACACUUGACAUCUGGUGGCAUCGUUUCAUUUCACCAAGCAAGAGGACACAAGUUGCUACUGCAAGUUGCAAGUUGGACGUUGCAUCUUAACUCAAUGUAUGGAAGGUUUAAGAGAUGCAUGAGUUUCCCUGUCUCUUAAUAUCAUGUUUAUUUUUCCCCUAUAAUCUACCUUGUCCAUAAUUAUCGCAUUUGCUUUGUCUGCUUUCAUAAAGUGAAGUCCAGGAUGUUUCCUUAAUUCAUGGUAUAACUUAACAAAUCUUAGAGGACAAUUGUGUUGUAGAUGUCUGAGCGAUGAUUUGUUAAGUUAUACCAUGAAUUAAGGAAAGUUCCUGGACUUCACCUUAUGACAGCAGACAAAGCAAGUGACAGUAAUUAUGCACAAGGUAGAUUAUAGGGGGGAAAUAAUGUAUUAGAAGACAGGGGAACUGACGUGCUCCUUAAACCCCUGGUAAACCAGUCCUAAACUUGUAGCAGGAUUAGCUUGCCAUGGAUAUUGAGUAGAUUGUUAAAAACACACAGCAUGUGGCUUAUGGCAAUUUAUUGAUAAAAUAUGUUUUCUGCCUGGAACUUUAUCAGUUCUUUAUCUAUUUGUGAGAGUUGAUAGUGUCUGGUGGAUUAAAACAUCUUUUUAAAUAAAAGGCGAUAAGCUGCAUAUUACCUUAUUAACAUACUUGUCGGUAUGUAAUAUCACUACACAAAUAACCUGCACACAGGAGAAAAACUUACGACAAUGUUCUAGCCUGACUUGGUCCAUUAACUAAGUCACAUUAACUAGUUAAUGGUCCGAGUUGGAUUAAAACGUCAUCGUAAGUCUCUCUCUCUCUCUCUCCUAUGUGCGGGAUAUUUGUGUAUUGUUCCAGUCAUGGUAUUGUGCCUUUUUGUUCCUCAUAAUGCCAUUGGUAUAUAUUGCGUUUAAAAUUAUGUCAGUAUUAUUUUGUACGUCAGUGAAUGUUGCAUAUUCCAGAGACAGAUUUUCCAAUAUCAAGCGCUGCUGAGCUGCAAGUUUUGAAAGUAUAAACUUCUUAACACUAGGUUUAAAUUCACAGAAAUAUGAAUCUUCUUUCAAUAAACCAGCCGUAUCCCACCAAGGCGGGGUGGCCAAAAAAGAAAAACAAAAGUUUAUCUUUUUAAAUUUAGUAAAAUAUACAGAAGGGGUUAGAAAUGUAAAUAUUACAGGUAAAUCACAUUCACUGUUUAUAACUGUGAUUAGAAUUUUGGGAAAAGUUUGCCAUAAAUAGUUAAUAUUAUUACCUGAGAGUACAACCUUACUUGAAGAAUUUUUAAGAUAUCCCCUACAGUAAAACAUAUGUCAGCUAAGAGUGUAUUUAGAUAAGGUCUCAAAAUGCAGUUUAGUCAGGUCAUAAAUAUUUUUCUCACCUUUAGAAGCAUUAGACAAUGGACGUUAGUACUUUAGCAAUUGUUAGAAUUGUUAUAGGCGUUGCUGGAGCUUGGAAUGAUGGUCAGUUCAUAUUUCAGUUAUCACUUAAUGUAGGCAUCUAGGGAGUAAUUUAUACAGUCAGUUCUUAUAAAGCUCCUCUAUAUAGUACAGCUUUUUGUAAAUGAAAUUGAAAAAGUACAUUCGAAAUUGAAGAGUUCAUGGAAAAACUUUCGUAGUAUAUGUUGUUCAGUUUUCUACGUACUUUUUCAAUCGAAUUAACAAAAGAAUCGUGAACGAGUAACUUCAAAAGAGAGCCGAGUGUACAGUGUUCAAGAAUUAUAUUGUUGCCACGGAUAGAGAGUGAGCAGUAUUACUGACUUGGUUUGUCAUCAGAGACCAGAGUCAUGACUGGUACUCUACAAGAUAUAUAUACCUGCUGUAUUGUGUCUCCUGUCAACAUUACCGUCGUCAUCUACAGUGAUGGUACAGUAACUUAGAACAAAUGGAUGGUAUUUCCACUAAUGUUAUUUAAUGUAAAUUAUUUAAUUGAUGUGAAGGGAGCUAAGGAACACAGUAGUGAUUUAAAUUGGCUUUAAUUUUGGGCUAGAUUGCCUAUACAAAUGCUCCUUGCUUUACAACGGCUCGAACUGCGAUAUUUUGACUUAUGAUGGUGCGAUAGCGAUGCAUAUUCAGUAGUCAUCAAGCUUUAAUAGAAUAAACUUUCAUUCAUUUAUUUCCUUUUCAGUACCAGCAUUUAUCUAGUUACAGUAAUUAUUUGUUUAUUUACUUACUCAGUUAUGUUUAUCAUAGCAUAUUCACAUUCGACUUGGGAUAUUUUUUAUUUACAAUGGGUUCAUCGGAAUGUAACCCCAACGUAAGUCAAGGGCCAUAUGUAGGGAUUUCCAUCUGAGCUGUAUAAACCUACCCAUCACAACUAUGUAUUUCUCUCUUCCUGGUAAACCAUGUCCGUCAUUUUGGACUCAAACAUUGCGGUGAGGGAGGCUUGUGCUCUCACAUGAUGAACGUACUAAUUGUUUUACAAAUGGCAAAAUUUGUGAAUUUAUUUUGAAUAUUAUUAUUGUAAAUGAACAGGUGCUUCUUGACUUACAAUGGGGUUAUCUUCUGAUGAGUUCAUCAUAUGUUGGAAAUAUAAGUCGAACACACGAUAAAUAAGUAAAUAAACAAAUUAUUACUCUAAAUACCAGUAUUGAAAAGUAAAUGAAUUUAAGUUUAUCCUAUCAAUAAGUGUACAGUACUCUACAGUACAGAAUGUGGAUUCUUAUUACACGAUCGUAAAGUGACGAGCACCUGUACAGUGGAACCAUGGUUUUUGUAUGCCCUAGUCUGUAUGCAGAACUAUAGUUAUUCUCUAUAAAAUGUAUUUUUUUUUUUUAAAUAUUUCCCAUAAGAAAUAAUGUAAAUCCAAUUACGUAAUCUGUUCUAGACACCCAAAAGUAUUAACCAAAAAUACAUUUUAUAGAGAAUAGCUGUAGUUUUACAUACAGACUAGGGCAUACGAAAACCCUGGUUCCACUGUAUCAGUGGCCAGAGCUGCAGACUUCCAACUCCAUGGGCACCAGAAAAGCCCCGUAACUCUCACACUGCUGACACUAAAAUAAUCCUAACCAGAAUCCCUACCAAGUACCAAGAUUGUGAUAGGCUCCACUCUUACCCCAGACCACAUUUCUACAGAACUUGGUGCUAUCUCAGGUGCCUGGGGCAUAUAAUCAAAUAUCACCUGACACCUUAUAGGAAUUUGAGAGUUGUGUAAAACUCAUAUUUCGGGUAUCAUGAUCACCUCUCACAAUCCCCAGUCUAAGAGUUCUGGUUAGAUUUCUCUUAAUAACUACACGAGGUAUUGUGCUCGCUCUUACGUUUGGGAGUCUCCCAGAGAUGGUGCACUCGGUUCUUCCUUCGUCUUUUCUAUUUGUCAUUACUUUUGUUGUUCACUAUUUCACCAGUGUUAACUGCUUCCUCUGAGGUUCAUUUGUAGCAGAUUUGCUGUGAGGUUCACUUGUAGCAGGUUUCCUCUCAGGUUCACUUGUAGUAGGUUUCCUCUCAGGUUCACUUGUAGCAGGUUUCCUCUCAGGUUCACUUGUAGUAGGUUUCCUCUCAGGUUCACUUGUAGUAGGUUUCCUCUCAGGUUCACUUGUAGCAGGUUUCCUCUCAGGUUCCCUUGUAGUAGGUUUCCUCUCAGGUUCACUUGUAGCAGGUUUCCUCUCAGGUUCCCUUGUAGUAGGUUUCCUCUCAGGUUCACUUGUAGUAGGUUUCCUCUCAGGUUCACUUGUAGCAGGUUUCCUCUCAGGUUCCCUUGUAGUAGGUUUCCUCUCAGGUUCACUUGCAGCAGGUUUCCUCUCAGGUUCACUUGCAGCAGGUUUCCUCUCAGGUUAAUUUAAAGCAGGUUUCACAGUAUAAGUUUGGAAAAUAGAUUUAUAAAGUCAUUGAAGUUUAUAGUGUAAUUAAGCAUGAUCAUAAUUGUUACACAUAGACAUAAUAAGAAGUUGCGAAUUUUUGGUACAGUGUGAAGUGUCUGCCACAACGUCCAACACCCGAUAUAUUGUGGUGGUACGUAGGCUUGGAAUUUUUUUCUAGAAUUCAUUUGUCCUGUAAAAUUAUUUUGUGGAUAUUUUAGGAUAUUCUUAAUAUAUGGCAGUGAUAAGGUGAACUUGCGUAGCAUUUACAGCCAAAAAUCAAAAGUGAAUUUUUUAAUUGGAUGUGCUUACACAGUACGUAUACUGGGCAGCUCAAAUCAGUGAUUAGAGGACACUAUUUACACAGUAAAUAUUUACACUCAUUUUACAGGUAAAUAACAUCCACUAUUUAUAGCUGCAGAGUUUCCCGUAAAUAAUUAUUAUUUGUAACAUUACCUGAGAAUAUUUGAGGUAUAACUUCCCUACAGUAUAACAUGUGUCAGCUAAGAUUGUAUUUGGAUGAGGUCUCAAAAUACAAUUGACUUUGCAGAUAGUGUCCUCCUAGCAUAUAUAUUGGCACUCCUGCCAUUUCCAUACAGUGCAAAACAGAGCAUGAUUUCUUUCAUGAAGUCAGGAUUGUCAAGGUAAAAUGGCUAGCAGAAGUUUCCUGAUGGAGACCUACAGUGAAUUGUCAGUAUUGUUGGCUUCUCCACUGGAAAUUCUACACGUAUACUCUCGACAAUGAUGUUUAUCGAAAUUGUACAUGCCCUUAGCGAAGAAGAGAAGAGCAGUAGCGUAGGAGUUGCAUUUAGUGUAAUAUUUGGUUAGCCGAUGGAUGCCAGCUGUGCUGAUACAGUAUUCCAUAUCUGGCUUUUAUAUAACAUCAGUUUUAGCCAGUGUUGUCAUGGCUAACCCACCACAGAUAUGCAUAGUGUAAACAGGGGCCCACAUAAACAGGUACCUAUGUAAACAGGGACCCAUGUAAACAGGGGUCCAUGUAAACAGGGACCCAUGUAAACAAGAACCCAGGAAUGGGUUACUCAAUGCUUUUUAGGGAUAACUAGUUUAUGGAGUUAAAAUUAUGUACUGCAGAACAAAUGUCCAAGGUUAAGUCUGUACACAUUAUAUUAUAAUGCAAAACUUAGCCAACCAUCUCAAGGAUGCUGUGUUAAUAUUAGUCUAUUCUUCUGGUUGUAGUAACAUGAAAGCAAGUCUAAAAGUCUUACCUGGGAUAAGCAAAGAAUACAGGAGGGCCCCGUUCAUACAGUUCUCAUGCGACUGUUGUGCGAUAAUGGCGGUACAACGGUAGAAGCACCAGACAUAACGAACAGUGAUUCAGUUGAAAGCCAGAAAAAUGUGGAACACCAGAGGUACUGUAUAUGCAGGGUCCUUCUGUAUUGGCUUAUUUAAGCUUCAUUGGUCAUGGUAUAAGUGUGGUAAAUGACUUCACAGUACAGGAGGCAGUGUCCAGUUAUGAUGGUGACAUCUCUAGGGUAUUUUCAGGUUUACAAAAGUGAUAUUGCAUCCAAAGUUUUGAAGACAUUUAAAGUUGGUCAGAGAAACAGCUGGGUUUAUGUCUUCUAUUUGUAAAAUUUAAAAAAAAAAAAUAGAUUUUUGUUGCAUGAUUUUUUAUUGAUUAGGGUUAUUUAUAACCUAAUACUUUGUAUGUAGUUUUGUCAUUUCUUGUCUUAAAUAGUAGUUGAAAGUGACUGUACUUAGAAAAAUUGUUAUAAGUAGUAGUCUUGGUUAGUAAGUAAUGUAUUGCGUGUCACCCGGCAGGCUCGCAUGAGAGCGCCCAUCACCCAUCCCCCAUACUUGUAAUACAGACAUAAGACAUGAGAAGAAUGCCCCUUCUCCAUUUCUCCUAUUCUGUAAGACAAAAUAUCUCAUUAUGUUUGGGUACUACAGACAUAAAAUGAAGUCUCCACCUCCCUAUUCCUCUUCCUUGCCUGCAUGACAUAUAACUCUGUACAGUGGACCCCCGCAUAACGAUCACCUCCAAAUGCGACCAAUUAUGUAAGUGUAUUUAUGUAAGUGCGUUUGUACGUGUAUGUUUGGGGGUCUGAAAUUUACUAAUCUACUUCAGAAUAUUCCUUAUGGGAAAAAAUUCGGUCAGUACUGGCACCUGAACAUACUACUGGAAUGAAAAAAGUUCGUUAACAGGGGGUCCACUGUAUAUCAUUUACUGCAGGCAUGAGAACACGACUCGACUGCUGUGACAAGCUUGGCGGCUCCUGCGCAUCCUGCCCGGGUUACACAUUCCAUAGUAUAGAUAGACUCUAAGACAUGCGUAGUCAGGUCUUAAGGUUUGGUAGUAUUCUUGAUAUCCUCAUACUGUACUGUAGUUGUAACACUUUGUGGGGCGAUGUUUAAGUGCAAACAAGAUGAACGUGGAUAUAACUGGAUGAACGUAUACUGUAAUUGUAGAUAUGACUUAAGACUGGAUGAGUGUGGCUGUCUUGUUGAAAAUGGUUUAGGUGUAAUAGGAGUAUAAUUGACUCGCGAAAUUGUAAUAAAUCACGGAACAGAUGGGGUUUGAGUACAUGUAAUUGAUUAGCUGGGAAACCAGUUGAACACAGCGAGACCCAUUUUGUUUCAGAUAAAGUUGGUUGAGAAUGAUAAGCCAGGUUAUUAUGAACAUAGUUUAUGUGACUAAAAUUGGAUUGAAAUUUAUCAGUAAGGCUUAUAAAGUUGAGUAUAUUUGUUGGAGAUAUUGAGUGAUUCAGAACUGUAAUGUGCAUGACUAAAAUUAGGUAAGUGUAAGUUCAACAUUUGUCCAUUCUUGGACUGGUUGAAUAAAACAUGUUUAGUUCCUUAAGUAGGAUUUUAAGAUUGGAUGGAUGUGACUUGUGAAUGCUGUAUGUCACAUUUCAGGAGUGAAUCAGUGGCUGCAAAGUUUAACGAUUGCUGAAAGCACGUUUGUGUGAGACUAUCGUUUUCAUUUUUUUUUUUUUUUUUUUUUUUUUUUUUUUUUUUUUUUUUUUUUUGCCUUGUAUGUUUUCCCAGUGUAUAAUUUUACGAUUGCAAAGGUUUUGGCUUGUGGGAGGCAGCAACACACAGGUGCCAGGUUGUGUUGUGGUUCUGUAAUCAUGAUUGCGAGCAGUGGAGCGCUGGUUACAAAACAAUUGGAGCUGCUGGUGUUGCAUGUCCCAUAUUUUCUUGUAUAUUGCUGAUACUUAAUUUGCUUGGAUUCCUGGACCAAAUGCUGUUUCAUUGUUACAAGUUUGCAUGUGGAAAAAAACAAUUACUGUAUCGGUCAUCUCCCGCCAAGGUAGAGGGACCCCAAAAAAGUAAAUACAUUCACCAUCAUUCAGUCUAUUGCUGUCAGACCAGAUGUGUGCAUAUCAGUCGUACCUUAACUAUGAAUAGCUACAUUUUAUAGUACUCUUUGUAGAUGUUAUGUUUUAAUAGAUCGAUAGACAUAACGCAUACAAUAUUAAAUAACCACUCAUGAAAUAUAUAUUUUUGAGGCAGCUGUGCAAUUUGCCAGAUUUUUAUUGUCAGAAUACUUCAUCCAUUGACACAUGGAUUGGAGAGUUGAAGUAUAGUUAGUUUUUCUGGGAAAAGUGACACGGUACUUAACAGUGUGCAGACGUUGAUGCCAACACCCAUUGGUGUUACUGCAUUGUUGACGUAUUAACUUAAAUUACUAGGGUUCUUUUGCAGUUUGGGAAAGUGUCAAAAUAUAUUGUUAUAAUCUGUCUCUUGCUGUCGCUCCUACAAGCCAACACUUGUCAACCAGUAAAGUUUUUGAGUGAGCUCUCCCUUUAUUGUAAAUUUGUCUUAAAUGUUAGUUUGUUCCUUUUUGCUUCCAAUUCCAGUUCUGAAAAGUUUACCUUCUCAAAGUUAUUGAGAUUUGCUCUUGACCGCUUUUUGUAUUUUUGUUUUCACUAAGUAGUAGUUGGCCACUUGGCCAUGACGUUAUUCAUGUGCCAGUGUAGCGUUGUUAGAGUUUCACAUCCACGGUAUGCGCUUCAGCUAGUCCAGACUCGCUAGCAUCAUCAUUUUUUUUUACGCUUGUAUGUGUGAAGGUGGUAUCUCUGGCCUCACUUUCUCGUUACCAUUUUCUGGUGUUCUGUUAUGGCCGCACUCUUGGUAAAAAAAUAUCGUUAUAGUUGGAUUUGAGUUCCAGAAGCCCGCAGUUUUUUCUUUAUUGUUCCUACUUCUCAUCUGAGUUUUAUUUGGCUGGUACGAAAUUAUGAACCUUUUCCAACUUAAAUUCUCUUAUGCAAAAUGCUCAGAAUUAUUUUGGAAUAAUUUUAAUUUAUGCAAAAUGCUAGCACAAAAUUUUGCAUGGUGUUGCGUAAGUUGUGAGAGUUUACUAGUUGAAGAGCAUAUUGUGUUACCAGAGACUGCUGAACUAGGGUAGGCAACACAGCUGAAGGAGUAGUGUUAGUGCAGGACCUUUAGUAGAUGUUGCAGUGUAGCUCAUAUAUUUUGGUUAAUAAAUAUUAAUAUAUAUAUAUAUAAAUAAA